rnacentral:rRNA from 1 species
UCCGGUUGAUCCUGCCGGACCUGACUGCUAUCGGAUUGAUACUAAGCCAUGCGAGUCUUUGUAGUAAUACAAGGCAGACGGCUCAGUAACACGUAGUCAACCUACCCUAUGGACGAGAAUAAUCUCGGGAAACUGAGCAUAAUUCUCGAUAGAUCAUAAUGCCUGGAAUGGUUUAUGGUUAAAAUGAUUCGUCGCCAUAGGAUGGGACUGCGGCCUAUCAGCUUGUUGGUGAGGUAAUGGCCCACCAAGGCGAUUACAGGUACGGGCUCUGAGAGGAGAAGCCCGGAGAUGGGUACUGAGACAAGGACCCAGGCCCUAUGGGGCGCAGCAGGCGAGAAAACUUUGCAAUGUGCGAAAGCACGACAAGGUUAAUCCGAGUGAUUUCUGCUAAAGAAAUCUUUUACCAGUCAUAAAACCACUGGUGAAUAAGGGGUGGGCAAGUUCUGGUGUCAGCCGCCGCGGUAAAACCAGCACCUCAAGUGGUCAGGAUGAUUAUUGGGCCUAAAGCAUCCGUAGCCGGCUCUGUAAGUUUUCGGUUAAAUCCAUGUGCUCAACGCAUGGGCUGCCGAAAAUACUGCAUAGCUAGGGAGUGGGAGAGGUAGACGGUACUCAGUAGGAAGGGGUAAAAUCCUUUGAUCUAUUGAUGACCACCUGUGGCGAAGGCGGUCUACCAGAACACGUUCGACGGUGAGGGAUGAAAGCUGGGGGAGCAAACCGGAUUAGAUACCCGGGUAGUCCCAGCUGUAAACGAUGCAGACUCGAUGAUGCAUUGGCAUAAUAGCCAGUGCAGUGUCGCAGGGAAGCCGUUAAGUCUGCCGCCUGGGAAGUACGUACGCAAGUAUGAAACUUAAAGGAAUUGGCGGGGGAGCACCACAAGGGGUGAAGCCUGCGGUUCAAUUGGAUUCAACGCCGGG